UAAGGAAUCUUCCACAAUGGACGAAAGUCUGAUGGAGCAACGCCGCGUGCAGGAUGACGGUCUUCGGAUUGUAAACUGCUUUUAUAUAGGAAGAUUAUGACGGUACUAUAUGAAUAAGCACCGGCUAACUACGUGCCAGCAGCCGCGGUAAUACGUAGGGUGCAAGCGUUAUCCGGAAUCACUGGGCGUAAAGCGUGCGUAGGUGGGAAUUUAAGUGUGAUGUUAAAUCGUGUGGCUCAACCAUAUCGAUGCAUCGCAUACUGGGUUCCUAGAGGACAGCAGAGGCAAGUGGAAUUAGCAGUGUAGCAGUGAAAUGCGUAGAUAUUGCUAGGAACACCAAUGGCGAAGGCAGCUUGCUGGGCUACUCCUGACACUGAGGUACGAAAGCGUGGGGAGCGAACAG
rnacentral:rRNA from 1 species